UACAGAGGGUGCGAGCGUUAAUCGGAAUUAUUGGGCGUAAAGCGUGCGUAGACGGCUAUCUAAGUCGGGUGUGAAAGCCCCAGGCUCAACCUGGGAAUUGCAUUCGAGACUGAAUAGCUAGGGUACGGUAGAGGGAAGCGGAAUUUCCGGUGUAGCGGUGAAAUGCGUAGAUAUCGGAAGGAACAUCAGUGGCGAAAGCGGCUUCCUGGACCAGUACCGACGUUCAGGCACGAAAGCGUGGGGAGCAAACAGG
rnacentral:rRNA from 1 species